CAUAUAGGGAUCAAAACUGAACACAGACGAACCACCAUGGACUUUGGACUCCACUGGGUUUUCUUUAUUGUUCUUUUAACAGGUGUCCAGUGUGAGGUACAAUUGCUGGAAUCUGGGGGAGGCUUGGUCCAAACUGGGGGAUCCUUGAGACUCUCUUGUGAGGCCUCCGGGUUCGCCUUCAGUAGCUUUUGGAUGUAUUGGAUCCGCCAAGCUCCAGAAAAGGGACUGGAGUGGAUCUCAUACAUUAAUGCUGAUGGUGGUAGCACAGGCUAUGCAGACUCUGUGAAGGGCCGGUUCACCACAUCCAGAGACAACGCCAAGAACAUGCGUUAUCUGCAAUUGAACAACCUGCAAGAGCAGGACACUGGUGUCUAUUUCUGUGCAAAAGACACAGUGAGUAAAUAUCCUUAA